rnacentral:rRNA from 1 species
UAUCUCUGUAGAGUCUGCAUAUCAAUAAGCGGAGGAAAAGAAACUAACAAGGAUUCCCUUAGUAACGGCGAGUGAAGCGGGAAGAGCUCAAAUUUGAAAUCUUCAAGGUUCUACCUUGACGAAUUGUAGUUUAAAGAAGUGUUUUCUGUUAGAUGAGUAGCAAAAGUUCCUUGGAAUGGGACAUCAUAGAGGGUGAGAAUCCCGUAUUUGGUUAUUCAUUCUAGCUUUGUGAUACACUUUCAAAGAGUCGGAUUGUUUGGGAAUGCAGUCCAAAAUGGGUGGUAAAUUUCAUCUAAAGCUAAAUAUUGGCGAGAGACCGAUAGCGAACAAGUACCGUGAGGGAAAGAUGAAAAGAACUUUGAAAAGAGAGUUAAACAGUACGUGAAAUUGUCAAAAGGGAAGCGUUUGACACCAGUGUUGUUUUUCCGAAAAUCAAUUACGAAUGGCUUGAUUCUGUGUUGUAUUGACCUUAUCAGCUUUCUUCACUUUUUUCGAGUCUUUCUUAAUGCACUUUUCGGUUAACAAGUCAACAUCAAUUUCUUUUGUUGUAAAAGGGUCAUUGGAAGGUGGCUUUCUUUUCGGAGAAAGUGUUUAUAGGCCCUAUUGACUUCUACAAUCGGAGAGACUGAGGUCUGCAGCGUAGAUCCUUCGGGGUUAGAUACAUUUGUGCUAAGUUAUAGCCUUUUCAUAGACAACUUGUUGACUAUGAUCAGUCAUGUAGCUUACUCGCUUAUGCUAUUGUACCUACGCUUAGGAUGUUGAAGAUGUAGCACAUCAU